rnacentral:rRNA from 1 species
AUACGGAGGGUGCAAGCGUUAAUCGGAAUUACUGGGCGUAAAGCGUGCGUAGGUGGUUUGUUAAGUCAGAUGUGCAAGCCCCGGGCUCAACCUGGGAACUGCAUUUGAAACUGGCAUACUAGAGUAUAGGAGAGGAAAGUGGAAUUUCAGGUGUAGCGGUGAAAUGCGUAGAUAUCUCAAGGAACAUCAAUGGCGAAGGCAGCUUUCUGGACUAAUACUGACACUGAGGUACGAAAGCGUGGGUAGCAAACAGGAUUAGAAACCCUAGUAGUCC